rnacentral:rRNA from 1 species
AAAGGGGGGGCAAUACCGAAUAGUAUCCGGUUCCGUGAAGGGGACCGGGGAAAAGGAGGCCUCUGGAACAAGCUUCCGCUCCUGGAUGAGCCCAUGGCCCAUCAGCUAGUUGGCAGGGUAAAGGCCUACCAAGGCGACGACGGGUAGCUGGUCUGAGAGGACAACCAGCCACACUGGCACUGAGACACGGGCCAGACUCCUACGGGAGGCAGCAGUGAGGAAUAUUGCGCAAUGGGGGCAACCCUGACGCAGCAACGCCGCGUGUGGGAAGAAGGCUUUCGGGUUGUAAACCACUUUUGCCCGGGACGAAAAGGGACCCAAUAACGCGGGGUUCCGAUGACGGUACCGGGAGAAUAAGCCACGGCUAACUCUGUGCCAGCAGCCGCGGUAAGACAGAGGUGGCAAGCGUUGUUCGGAGUUACUGGGCGUAAAGAGUCUGUAGGUGGUUUGUCAAGUCUUUGGUGAAAGGCCGUGGCUUAACCAUGGGAAUGCCAAAGAGACUGGCAGGCUGGAGGCUGGGAGAGGGAAGCGGAAUUUCUGGUGUAGCGGUGAAAUGCGUAGAUAUCAGAAGGAAGGCCGGUGGCGAAGGCGGCUUCCUGGAACAGUCCUGACACUGAGAGACGAAAGCGUGGGGGGCAAACAGGAUUAGAUACCCUGGUAGUCCACGCCCUAAACGAUGGGUACUAAGUGUGGGAGGGUUAAACCUCCCGUGCCGCAGCCAACGCAGUAAGUACCCCGCCUGGGGAGUACGGCCGCAAGGUUGAAACUCAAAGGAAUUGACGG